GACGAACGCUGGCGGCGUGCUUAACACAUGCAAGUCGAACGGAAAGGCCCUGCUUUUGUGGGGUGCUCGAGUGGCGAACGGGUGAGUAACACGUGAGUAACCUGCCCUUGACUUUGGGAUAACUUCAGGAAACUGGGGCUAAUACCGGAUAGGAGCCCCUGCUGCAUGGUGGGGGUUGGAAAGUUUCGGCGGUUGGGGAUGGACUCGCGGCUUAUCAGCUUGUUGGUGGGGUAGUGGCUUACCAAGGCUUUGACGGGUAGCCGGCCUGAGAGGGUGACCGGCCACAUUGGGACUGAGAUACGGCCCAGACUCCUACGGGAGGCAGCAGUGGGGAAUAUUGCACAAUGGGCGGAAGCCUGAUGCAGCGACGCCGCGUGCGGGAUGACGGCCUUCGGGUUGUAAACCGCUUUCGGCUGUGACGAAGCGUGAGUGACGGUAAUGGGUGAAGAAGCACCGGCUAACUACGUG
rnacentral:rRNA from 1 species